CUAAUGUUAUCAUGUUACAUGUAUAUGCGACGUUAAAUAAAGGUUCUUGACUCUUGACUCUUCAUAGAAAAGUAUACUUAUAUUCACUUUCAGUUUAUGUGUAAAAUCUAUGUGUAUAAUCAACACACCGUUACACACGUAUGACUACGUCAUGUGUAAACAUUGACAGGAAUGAACGUGUCUGUUGUCUCUUGACUCUUCUUACAAAAGUAUACUUACUUUCACUUUCGGUUUAUGUGUAAAAUCUAAGCAGGAAACAAAAUUGAAAAAUUCCUACUGACCACCAUAUGAUCCAAUUCCUUGGCGACUGUUGCUAAUAACAGAGACUUAUGGCCAUGUCUCAUCCAGUCAAUCUAUCGAAUGAUGGGUCAACUAUUAGGACAACCAAAAGGAAUCAUUUCGAGGAGAAAGUACCUGAAACAGCGGCCGCCGGAAUUCAUACAUCAAAUGAUAUUCAGAAUUCAAAUGGCAAGGGAUCAAAGGUCGUGCUUGGAAGGACACUCCUUUACCUGGUCACUAUGUAUACACAGGCCACACGGAAGCCAGUAUCAUGUACGAUACUAGACGUUUUCAACUUACAGAAUUACCUC
rnacentral:misc_RNA from 1 species